AACCUUAUGGACCUGCGGGCGUAUACCUGCGGAGGGAUCAUUACUGAGUGAGGGCCUUCGGGCUCGACCUCCAACCCUUUGUGAACACAACUUGUUGCUUCGGGGGCGACCCUGCCGUUUCGACGGCGAGCGCCCCCGGAGGCCUUCAAACACUGCAUCUUUGCGUCGGAGUUUAAGUAAAUUAAACAAAACUUUUAGCAAUGGAUCU
rnacentral:misc_RNA from 1 species